AGUGGUAUAUACAUGUAAAAAUCUCUUUUUUUAAUUAUAUUUUUUAAAUUGUAGGAAAUAACAUGCACAUAACAAAAAUAUCAAUUACAUCAUACUUCCAUAAACAAAUAUACAAAUGUACAUGUAUAAAAAAAGGGUGUUACAUCCUACUGGUGAUUGUAUAACCAUGAUUCAUACAUGUCAUGGUGCUGUUUACACAAUAUUUUAGCAAAAAUAACUUUUUUCCUAGCUACACUGUAAGUGAUAAAGAAUACUUCAUAAAGUCUUCAAAACUAGCAUAUUACUUGUAUGUUCAACUCUUCAAACCCUGUAAAAAGUAAAAAGAAAUUUCCUUUUAGAAAAUUAUGAAAAUCAUAUUAAGUAUCUGAAAGAUAACAACAAUGAGAGAAAUACCUGAAUAUUGCAUACUUUCCUCUCUUUCAAAGCAUGUCAUUUUCAUAUACAGUCCAAUUGCACUUUUCAAAUACAAGAUUAGUGUAAAAAAAAAACUAUCCAUAUUUACGAAAUACAUUAUCCGAGUAACAAUACCAUCAAAAGUUAUAAGCCAGCACAUAUUGUAUACAAAGGUUUACUAAGCACAACCUCAUGGCCACUGAUAGUAACUAAACACACUCAAAACAACUCAAGGAAUGAUUUCUUCAUUUGCCAUUUCAAGAAUAUGAAUUUAGGAAACAGUAAAACUAUUGUUAACGUUAUAUGUGUCCAUACAUAUGUCUUUGUUCAAAUAAAAUAAUUAUUGUCUAUAGCUAACAUCACUCAUAACCUAAGAUCACCAAUAAAAGAUGUUCCUUAGGAAGUAUUUAUUAGAAAAGACCAAAGUAGAUGGUGAGAAUUACAGUAAGAACUUUUAUUUAAAUGCCAUACAUAUUGAUAGUCCCACCGAAGCUUGACGAAAAAAAGUCAUUGUGACGAUCCGACCCGUCGUCACGUGAGUUACCGCUCCAUUUUUCCCGUUUUAUGCUUCUAUAUCUUUCAUUAUAUGUGUUUGUAGAGUUUGAAGUGAUUCAGACACUUGGUUGGAAUUGAGAAAAUUAGUCUCUUUAAGAGAAGACUAGUUAGAAAAAGUUAACCGGAUAUUGACUUAUGAGUUAUAGGGCUCGAAAUAGAUUUCCGACAAUUUGGAUAGUUUCGAGUGGUGAUUUAUGACUUUGGAGUGAAAACAGACCUGAAUUUGGAGGUCCGAUGUAGAAUUAUGCUUGAAUUGGUUAAGUUUGAAUUUCGACGAAUUCCGGUUGAUAGGUGAGAUUUGCUCUGGGAGUCGGAAUGGAAUUCCGAGAGCUACUGUAGCGUCGUUAGGUGAUUUUGGAUAUGUCUGCAAAUUUUCAGGGUAUUCGGACGUCGUUUGGUCGGCUUUUUGAUCGAAUGUUAGUUUCGAAAGUUAUAGUUGAAACUUAGGCUUUAGUCCGUCGUGAAUUAAUAGUUUUUCUGUUGUUGGUCGUGUUUUUAUAAUUGAAACAAGUUCGUAUGAUGAUUUGGGGUAUGUUGGUGUUUUUGGUUGGGGUCCCGGGGGGCCUCGGGGUGAUUUUGGAUGAUUUUCGGGAAGUUUGGACUUAUGAAAAUCUGCAUAAAUUGCAGCAGCACUGCAACAGGUAUUUAGCCAUCGCGAUCGCGUGACUUGGGGUGUGAUCGCAUAGGGUUGGGUGCUGCAUGCCUUGCGUUCGCGUGAGUUGAGUCACGAUCGCGUAGGUGUGGCAUCUGAAGCAUGACGGUCGUGUGGAGCAGGUCGCGUUCACAUAGAAGAAUCUAGGGGCCCAACCAAGAUCUGUUCAUCGCGUUCGCGUGAGUUGAGUCACGAUCGCGUAGGUGUGGCAUCUGAAGUAUCACGGUCGUGUGGAGAAGGUCACGUUCACAUAGAAGAAUCUAGGGGCCCAACCAAGUUUGUUCAUCGCAUUCGCGGUCGUGGGGGUCGCGAUAGCGUAGUACGUGAAUUUAAGCAUCGCGAUCGAGUCUGGCGGUAUGCGAUCGCGUAGAAGGAAAUUUAGCUGGGCAGAGGGAUAUUACUGAAAAUUUCAGUCGCGAACCCAUCAUUAUUUUCUCUAUUGUUGCAUCAACUCGAGAGCUUGUUGGUUGAUUUUGAAGGGGAUUUUGACGGGAAGUGAUUGGAGGUAAGUCUUGUGGCCUAGAUACGUCAUUUAAUCGAAGAAUCAUCCAUUAAUUCU
rnacentral:lncRNA from 1 species